rnacentral:lncRNA from 1 species
AAUACAUUAAAAAUAUGAAAUAAGUUUAAAUCUAAAAAACUUUUAAAAAUAUGAUUUAGUAGACAAAAUAGUUAUAAAUUAAAGACAUAUUAAUAUGAAUUUUAAUAUGUAACUUUAUUUGAAUAUAAAUACUAGAACACAUAUUUUAAAUCUAUAGAUGUAAACCUUACAUUUCUAAGAGGAGAAGAGAACAACUAUGGAAGAAAAUACCUG